UUAACUCACAAUCCUUUUCCCCCCUUUCGUGCGAGACGAGAGCUAGGGUUCCACAAUCCCUUUCUCUUCCUCCCAGGUGGCCGCCGCCGGACUCCAUCACUCCACCACGUGCGUCGGCGCCACCACCUACCUCUCGCGGCCGUACGUGUGGGAAGCUCUCCGAGUUGCGCCUGUGCCUUGGGGAAUCGUCACCGCCGCCAGGCCAGACCGAGGAGGAGUGGCUCCACGGGAACUACGCCGUCGGCUACCCCUACACAUCCUCAGUCUGCGCCCGCGCCGGCGAAAUCCGCCAAUCCGACACCUCGUUCCUGCGCCGCUACGUCCUCCGAGGCCCUCGCCUGGUGGGCAGCAUCACGGGGGCCGUCGCCUGCCUCAACCCUCGAUCCUCGUUCCUGCGCCGCUGCGUCCUUCGAGGCCCUCGCCUCUGCACCCUCGAUGCCUCCCGUAUCUCCGCCGUCCUCCGCCUUCCGGGGGCCUGUUCUGUUUGGGCAGGGCGAAGAAGGUGCCCAAUCUUCCUGAUUUUACCUCUUCCAUUAACAUCUUUGGAUGGUCACCGCGGUCAAGUGCAGGACUACAUCGACUACGGAGCAGCGAUAAGGGGCAUUGGAGCAGGCACGACCAACCACCAACAAGGGUACGAUCCCUGUUCCUCCUCCAGUCUCCCUCCCUCUCCCUAUACAUCUCGUCAUUGUCAUGAAUGAAUGUAUGUGAAUGCCAUCUCCAACGAUAGAAGCCUCUUCUGCAUGGCUACUCACCAAAUCCUUUGGGACGUCACCUUGCAGUGAUCUCAAUCCUCUCUUCGUAUUUUUAAUUGCCUCUUUAUAUUGUGGCUGCAACAAGAUGUUAGUAUGGAGUUCAGUGGAAUCACUUGGAUAUAUGUACCAAUUGAAGCAAGUUCAGUGGAAUCACUUGGACUAACAUUUUGUUAGUUUAUGAAUAAAAGAUGCACGUACAAAUGUUCCUUGCAGGCUUUUAGCACACCAGUACAUCCAGAUUUGAAUCUACCACACACUUUAUUUGGGUUGUUCUUCAUGUCGUUUCAUUUUCUGUACUUAAAGUGCUUGAGGUAAUAUCAUACUUCUUGUGUAACAUCAUUCAGUCUUUGAUUAAACUAAGUUCUCUCUCUAAAAGGAGAAGUAGUACUGCUGCAAAUGUUUAACAGAUGCCAUCGUUACUACAGAAUGAUGCUAUAUAGUAUAUUCUAUGAAAUAAUAGUUACAUUUUCAUGAAAAUCAGAAUCAUUGCUGGAGAAUGACACUGCUAUGCGGAAUUACAUUUAUGUACCGAUUUGCACACUUGAAUCUAACUGUAGUUAACGUGCUAAUUUUACUAGAAGGAUGGUGUAUCUUAUUAAUUGUGUUUAACAUGAUACUCUUUCCGAUAUUACUGAUAAUUUUAAUGUAAUCCCUUGCUCGGCAUUUAAAAUUCAUGACAUCUUUCAUAAGUGGGUUCUUGAAUUGGCAGCAGACAAAUAGGUGUGAUGUUCAUAAGUUCAGUGUCUUGCAUGAACAGUAAAGUGAAUAUACACCAUGUCUUUGCUUGAUUUCAUUUUUUGUUAUUAGAACGUCACUGCAGUCUAUGCCAUUAGGAUAAGCAGAAGUGUCAUUCGCAUUGAAGAACAUCACUUUACCAGUAAGAGAUCUCCACGAUUUAGCAUGGGUGUAUGCAAACCAGUACUGAUCAUGCAAGAAAAUAUUGUGGGACAGGGCUUGGCCUUGUGAUUUUCAAGCAAUUGGUUUGUUUUCUCUCGGUUCCAAUUACUGAUUCAUCUAAAAUACAAAGUUAAGAUAUUAGGUAUGUAUUAAAUACUAAACUUGGGAACACAACGAUAAUUAUUUGAGUGUUAGCUGUAGCAAAAGCAGGCCUAGUGUGAUUUAUAAAAUUCUAGAACUAUUUCACUGAAUUUCCGCAAUAAUUUAGGUGGAGUUGCUGGGUGGUACUCUUAAUUGUGGUUCGCAACGAGAAUAAAGGAUCAACAUUUACAUUCAUUCUCAUUGCUAACCAUAGUUUCCUGUAAAAAAAAGGAGCACUGUGGAGUUGAUGGGUGGUACUCUAGGUGUGGUGCACGUCAUCUGGUCUUGCCUGUGAGUGAGUAGCAAGAUGGGGGCUGAGCUCUCUUGGAUCCGGGAACCACACCUGCUGCCGCCACCGGAUACCUCUAAGUGCAGAGCCAUUGCCAACCUCACCGGAAACGCCGCGCCGUCCAUCUUGUUCCUCCCUCACUGGCAAGACCGGAUGGUGUGCACAUGAUGUCUUCCUCCUUCCCCGACUGUUUGGCUGCAGGCACCACAUCUACAUCAAUCUGAUUCAUUGCGUCAGGUGUAGUCAUGAAGUCAAUCAUCCGCAACUUGGGAUUGUUCAGGAGGUAUAGACAUUUAAAUUGGAGGAUGGAAAUUUCACCAAAAAUCAGGUGCUUUUAACCGCAUACGACCAUUACUUUCUACUACUUCACCAGCUGCACUACAUCAUAGUCACAACAAUGGUGUAUACAUAUACAACUCUUGUUAGUAAAUAAAAAGGUGGACUUGAGGAGACAAAAAUAAUAAUGAUGCACACAUAUACAAGUUCUCUUUUAUUUCUGAAAUGGGCAAAGUUUAAGUGCAUCUGCUCAUGAAUUACCCACUAUUUUUAGAAGUCAUUAUUCGAGAAUUAACCUUUGACUCAGAAUAAUUAGAGGCCAAUUUUGCACAAUAUUGUUUGCUUCCAUAGUAACUUGUGUAUUGUUUUGAUUUUACUUUCAGGAUAUGAGUGCAGCAUCAUAGGGGGAUCACGAGGAGCUAGGAAACUAUUGAGUCUAUUUUUUUGCAGUUUGUUUCAGAGAAGCCCAUGUUAGUUUUACAUGGGAUUUUGGCAGCUGAUUCUGUUUGUGGUUAUAUUAAGAUCUAUGAAUUGCAAUUGUGCUAUUUUUUAUAAUAAAGGGAAAAAGGAGUGCUGCUUAGGCUCUGCUCAAAACUUUGUAGUGCACACAUAACUCAGUUCAUUGACUGGGUGAAUCCAUUAGAUGCGUAUAACUUGAGCCUUGUGUAAUUUGCAGUUUAGUGACUGUCACUAUUUCUAGGUAUAUAAUUUGGGAGCACACAAUUUCUUGACCCCUGUUACUAUGUUAGUAGUAUAGAUUGUUACAGAAUAUAGGUAGUUUCUGAAAUUCUUCUUACUUUAUCCUGUUAAUAUGAAUGGUUUGUGGAUUAAUAAAAUGAAAACCUUAAAUCUUGGUAUGAUUAUGUAAAAUGUGGACCCGCGCCCUGCACAAUUUUGUUUAUACAAAACCUAGGCAUGGCUGGUGCUCUACUAUUUCAUCUUUCAUUUGUUGUUCAGUAGUACUUCCAAAUCUCUAAAUCAUGUUUUGCCAUUUGAAUUAAUUUAGUUACAAUUCACUCGGUUCUCUAGCCUUACAUAUGAGAGAUGCCAUAGUAAAUCAGAAUUAAUAACACCGACAGUUAUAAUAGUUCAUCAUUGGAAGGUAUGUCGGGUGUUUGGGAAGAGAAGCAUGGUGCCGGAACGUACACAAAUUGCUUUUGGUUCUCUACCCAUCUGAUCUCAAUUAAGAUCACUGGAGUUUGUGAAAGUUAAAUUAUUGUCUGUUAAAUGAUUUUUUUGAACUACUAAAUUGUGUUGUUUGUGUUUUCUUCUCAUGUAGAUAUUGUGGAUUAUACUCGAAUAUAAUCAUCAAGUCCUUUUCUGUAGAAUUGGCUGAGAACUGCCUAAGAAUUGGCUGCGUGAUUCUUGACAGAAAAGUACGUAUGCUGAACUAGGCUGAGUAGUUACAUGUACAUGCUUCAGGCUACCCACUCUAAUUCAGAUAUUCGAUUAGAAUUAGACCUCACCUCAUGUAACUUAAAAGGCUUGUUCUAUGCUAAGUGAAAAAAAAUGAUGCACUACUAAGAUUUUGUUGAAAGAAGCUUAUGCUUCAUGUGUUACGCCAUUCAUUUGACUCAAAUUGAUGCCAACUCACUAGAAAUUGAAAUGUUGUUUCCAGCCAGUUUGUCCUUCUAUUUUUUCUGGUCAUAAGUCGUCAUAUCUUUUCAGUAUAUAAUGUGUAGGUAAUCGAUGUCUUGUGUUGCCAUUUUAUAGGUCUUAACAUGUCCAUCGCAAUUUUACAUCGGCAGUAGGGAUUCAUGGUGACAUACACCAGCAUAGUGGAGCUUCUCACUUUAUGCUCUCCUUCUAACAAGAGUUUGCAGCUUUUGCUCCUAAAUGUAUCUGCUGAUCAAAUGACUUGGUAUUUCAGUGUUUGGUGGUUUCAUCAUGCAGUAGAGUAUGAACCCUAAUGAUUAUGAUCCUCUUCUUCAGGUGGAGUGCAAUUGAGGUAAAAGAAUGCUUGUGUCAUUGUUG